CUUGCUACUUUGCCGGCGAGCGGCGGACGGGUGAGUAAUGUCUGGGAAACUGCCUGAUGGAGGGGGAUAACUACUGGAAACGGUAGCUAAUACCGCAGGACCUCGYAAGAGCAAAGUGGGGGACCUUCGGGCCUCACGCCAUCGGAUGUGCCCAGAUGGGAUUAGCUAGUAGGUGGGGUAAUGGCUCACCUAGGCGACGAUCCCUAGCUGGUCUGAGAGGAUGACCAGCCACACUGGAACUGAGACACGGUCCAGACUCCUACGGGAGGCAGCAGUGGGGAAUAUUGCACAAUGGGCGCAAGCCUGAUGCAGCCAUGCCGCGUGUGUGAAGAAGGCCUUAGGGUUGUAAAGCACUUUCAGCGAGGAGGAAGGGUUCAGUGUUAAUAGCACUGUUCAUUGACGUUACUCGCAGAAGAAGCACCGGCUAACUCCGUGCCAGCAGCCGCGGUAAUACGGAGGGUGCAAGCGUUAAUCGGAAUUACUGGGCGUAAAGCGCACGCAGGCGGUUUGUUAAGUCAGAUGUGAAAUCCCCGAGCUUAACUUGGGAACUGCAUUUGAAACUGGC
rnacentral:rRNA from 1 species